UUACCUCUGCGGUGUCCGACAACGGGCUUAGAUUUUGUUAGCCCUACAAGCAUUGUUCCGGGGAUUCUGAUUUCGGCCGCGUGUACAUCCGGGAUGUCGCCUUCGGGCGGCUGAAUGGCUCACACUCACCGGAGAAUUGACUCCCCACCUGGACUGAAGGGUCCAUACAAAGCAGCUCGAACGGCACCUGCGGAGGUCUU
rnacentral:other from 1 species